UGGGGAAUUUUCCGCAAUGGGCGAAGGCCUGACGGAGCAAUGCCGCGUGGAGGUGGAAGGCCUACGGGUCGUCAACUUCUUUUCUCGGAGAAGAAACAAUGACGGUAUCUGAGGAAUAAGCAUCGGCUAACUCUGUCCCAG
rnacentral:rRNA from 1 species